ensembl:lincRNA Gm28875 predicted gene 28875
AUUCAGGAUCACUCUACGUGGGUCACAUUCUUCCAGGAGAGCAAAGAUCAGGAGCUGGGCAAGUUUUUGGAGCUCCUGGGAUGAAGAGGGGGACAGGGAACGCAUGUGUGUGUGCAUGUGUGUAUGUAUAUAUGUGUGCAUGCAUGUGUGUGCAUGCAUGUGUGUAUGUAUGUAUGUGUGCAUGCAUGUGUGUGCAUGUGCAUGUGUGCAUGUGCCUUGUGUUGCAUAAGUGUGCUCUGGUAGCUAGAGCAAUCCAAUUCAAUGUUUUAAGUCUUCCUUUGUGUAAACAGUACAGAGAGGCCACCUCCCCUUGUCACAGUCUCUGUGAUUAUAAAACAUGAAUUUUUGAUAAGUUCAGCUUUCUGGGAAGGCAGGCAAAUUUGGAGCCAAAGGACUGUCUUGGAACAUGUGUGGUGUUAUCUUGGUUCAUAUCAAGUCCAGAGCUGACUGAAGGCCUCAGCAUCUCUCAGCUCUGUGGGAAGGGCCAAGUGAGUCCUGGGGUCCCUGCUCAGUGCUGUUGUGAAGUUGCGCGGCAGCGGUCUUCUGAAAGACGAUUCUGUGUUAUCAUUGUUACUUCAUGGUUUUUUAAAAAAAUGUAUCUGCUCUAUGUUUGGAAAUAAAAAGCUCUAUUUUGGUCUAUGA